UUGUUGACUCUCUACACCAACAAUAGCCAACCAGGCUUGGAGGGCUUACCACUACACAAUAGCAAUCUGAAAAUAUCUAUUAGAAAAGAGACAAGUGAACAAUUCAACCAUGCUACAUAGUUUAUUCCAACAGACAGAAUGAUCAACAGAAGAGACUGAACUCUUUCAACAAUUGAUACCAAACCCUAGGAUCAGCUCAAAACUUUAAAGGAUGACCUUCAAUGUAGCAAAAUAUUCCUUCUUA
rnacentral:lncRNA from 1 species